CCCGCCUCGAAGAAUA
rnacentral:tRNA from 1 species